rnacentral:rRNA from 1 species
CAGAACGAACGCUGGCGGCGCGUCUUAAGCAUGCAAGUCGAACGGCAAGAGGUAGCAAUACCUCCUAGAGUGGCGGACUGGUGAGUAACACGUGGGUGACAUACCCUUCAGAUGGGGAUAGCUAUUAGAAAUAGUAGAUAAUACCGAAUACGAGCACAGGGGUUAGAGAUCUGUGAGGAAAGGAGCUAAGGCUCCGCUGAAGGAAUGGCCUGCGGCCCAUUAGCUAGUUGGUGAGGUAAGAGCCCACCAAGGCGAUGAUGGGUAUCCGGCCUUAGAGGGUGAACGGACACAUUGGGACUGAGAUACGGCCCAGACUCCUACGGGAGGCAGCAGCUAAGAAUAUUCCGCAAUGGACGAAAGUCUGACGGAGCGACGCCGCCGUGGAUGAAGAAGGCCGGAAGGUUGUAAAAUCCUUUUGAAACUGAAGAAUAAGCGUUAUAGGGAAUGACAGCGUGGUGACAGUAGGUUUUGAAUAAGCAACGGCUAAUUACGUGCCAGCCGCGGC